UAACAAGGAUUCCCCUAGUAACUGCGAGUGAAGCGGGAAAAGCUCAAAUUUAAAAUCUGGCGGUCUUCGGCCGUCCGAGUUGUAAUCUAGAGAAGCGUCACCCGCGCUGGACCGUGUACAAGUCUCCUGGGAUGGAGCGUCAUAGAGGGUGAGAAUCCCGUCUCUGACACGGACUACCAGGGCUUUGUGGUGCGCUCUCAAAGAGUCGAGUUGUUUGGGAAUGCAGCUCUAAACGGGUGGUAAAUUCCAUCUAAAGCUAAAUAUUGGCGAGAGACCGAUAGCGAACAAGUACCGUGAGGGAAAGAUGAAAAGAACUUUGGAAAGAGAGUUAAACAGUACGUGAAAUUGCUGAAAGGGAAACGCUUGAAGUCAGUCGCGUUGGCCGGGGAUCAGCCUCGCUCUUGCGUGGUGUACUUCCUGGUUAACGGGUCAGCAUCAAUUUUGACCGCUGGAGAAAGAUUUAGGGAAUGUGGCAUCUUCGGAUGUGUUAUAGCCCUUUUUCAUAUACAGCGGUUGGGAUUGAGGAACUCAGCACGCCGCAAGGCCGGGUUUCGACCACGUUCGUGCUUAGGAUGCUGGCAUAAUGGCUUUAAUCGACCCGUCUUGAAACACGGACCAAGGAGUCUAACAUGCCUGCGAGUGUUUGGGUGGAAAACCCGAGCGCGUAAUGAAAGUGAAAGUUGAGAUCCCUGUCGUGGGGAGCAUCGACGCCCGGACCAGAACUUUUGGGACGGAUCUGCGGUAGAGCAUGUAUGUUGGGACCCGAAAGAUGGUGAACUAUGCCUGAAUAGGGUGAAGCCAGAGGAAACUCUGGUGGAGGCUCGUAGCGAUUCUGACGUGCAAAUCGAUCGUCAAAUUUGGGUAUAGGGGCGAAAGACUAAUCGAACCAUCUAGUAGCU
rnacentral:rRNA from 1 species